rnacentral:rRNA from 1 species
AAAGCUUGCUUUUGAUGGGCGUCGACCGGCGCACGGGUGAGUAACGCGUAUCCAACCUGCCUCACACAGGGGGAUAACAGUUGGAAACGGCUGCUAAUACCGCAUAAGCGCACAGUACCGCAUGGUACGGUGUGAAAAACUCCGGUGGUGUGAGAUGGACCCGCGUCUGAUUAGCUAGUUGGCAGGGCAGCGGCCUACCAAGGCGACGAUCAGUAGCCGACCUGAGAGGGUGACCGGCCACAUUGGGACUGAGACACGGCCCAAACUCC